rnacentral:piRNA from 1 species
CUAUUCAGGGGCAUCGGCUUACUGGAACC